ACACCGAUGGUGAAGCGGUUAUCAUGCUUGCCUUCCAUUUAGAUUGGUAGCAAGCGGCAGGGGUUCGACUCCCCUUCGGUGUA